UCCCCAGUAGCUCAGUCGGUAGAGCAGAUGGCUGUUAACCAUCGGGUCUGUGGUUCGAGUCCGCACUGGGGAGCCA
rnacentral:tRNA from 2 species